rnacentral:lncRNA from 1 species
AUAUAUUUAAACUUAAAUUUUAUUAUAUAAUAUAAAUUAAUUAAAUUUGAUAUAUUAUUUAUUUUAUUAAGUUUUAUUAUUUAUAUAUUAAUAUUUAAUUAUUUUAUUUUAUAUUAAGUAUUAUAUAUAUAUAUAAAAUUAUUUUUUCAUGCAUUAUAUAUUUUUUUAAAUUUAUAUUAAAAUUUAUACUAUAUUAUUAAUUAAAAUUAUAAGGAUAUCGUUACAUAUAUUAUGAAUAAAUUAUAUAAAAUAAAUUAUUAUUAUUAUAUAUAGUAAAAUAAAUAUACUAUUUUAAAUUAAAUUGUGUUAUAUAAAAUAUUAUAUUAUAAAUUACUAUAAAAAAUAAUUUUAUAAAAUUUUUUAUAAAAUAUACUAAUAUAAAUUAAUUAUUUUAUUUUUAAAAAUAUAUUUUGACAUUGUUCUACAUAUUUUAUCUAAACGCUACUAAAAAUAUCCUCUAAAAAUACCUCCGAAUGCAUUCAAAUAUAAAUUUACAAUUGUUCUAUCUUGUACCAGAAUAUUCCGUAUUCUUAGAAAUAAUAAAAAUUGUUCUCCAAAUUUUAGUUCUCCAACCAAACGCAGCGUGAGAGAAGGGGGAAGUGGUGGCUUGUUCAUACACCUACAUUUUGUGCACCACAGG